rnacentral:lncRNA from 1 species
CUAAAUCAUCCACGUCAUUAAAUUAAACUUUCUCUUUCUCACAUUAAAAUUUAAAUUGAAAAUUUAUUUUGUUUAACUCCAGCUAACUACUCUCUGUCUUAAAAUAACAUUUAAAUAGAGAGAGGGGACAGAGUUCUCAGUUCGGUGAUGGUGUUUAUUAGAUUGCACGUGACCAACGAGAACGACCAGAAGCAAAAGCGAAACUGGAGACUAUAAACCAGAACCGGAAUCGAAGCGAGGGCAUUGCAGUAAUUUCACUGACGCUGCUCUCUUUCAUGCUCUUCUUCUCCACCGGAAACGGUGGCGUCGGUGUUGGAAGAUGGAUCUUGUUCGCUGAGGCUAGCGGCGGCACCAGCAGGACCGGCGGUUUCCCUUGGAGGUGGCCCUGCCAACUUCUGGUCCGCGGUGCCUGUCCCUCCAAUGUCAAGCUUAGCCGUCGCCGUCACGGCCAU